GACGAACGCUGGCGGCAUGCUUAACACAUGCNNNNNNAGCGACGAACCUUUUAGGGGCAAAGCCGCGAACGGGUGAGUAACACGUGGGCAAUCUGCCCCGAUGACUGGAAUAACACGAGGAAACUCGUGCUAAUACCGGAUGUGCUUGCACCUCAUCAGAGGUGUCAGUAAAGGUAGCUUCGGCUAACCGCAUCGGGAGGAGCCUGCGCAGCAUUAGUUUGUUGGUGAGGUAACGGCUCACCAAGACUACGAUGCUUAGCUGGUCUGAGAGGACGAUCAGCCACACUGGAACUGAGACACGGUCCAGACUCCUACGGGAGGCAGCAGUGGGGAAUCUUGCACAAUGGGCGACAGCCUGAUGCAGCAAUGCCGCGUGAGGGAAGACGGCCUUCGGGUUGUAAACCUCUUUCAGUUGGGAUGAAGGUUGAACGGUGAAUAGCCGGCUCAACUGACCGUACCUUCAGAAGAAGCCCCGGCUAACUACGUGCCAGCAGCCGCGGUAAUACGUAGGGGGCAAGCGUUGUCCGGAAUCAUUGGGCGUAAAGCGCGUGUAGGCGGUUACGUAAGUCUGCUGUGAAAGUCGGAGGCUCAACCUUCGAAUGCCAGUGGAUACUGCGUGACUAGAGUUCGGAAGAGGCAAGUGGAAUUCCUGGUGUAGCGGUGAAAUGCGCAGAUAUCAGGAGGAACACCAACGGCGAAGGCAGCUUGCUGNUACGNNNCUGACGCUGAGACGCGAAAGCGUGGGGAGCAAACAGGAUUAGAUACCCUGGUAGUCCACGCCGUAAACGAUGGUCACUAGAUGUGGGGGGUGUCGACUCCCUCCGUGUCGUAGCUAACGCGUUAAGUGACCCGCCUGGGGAGUACGGCCGCAAGGCUAAAACUCAAAGGAAUUGACGGGGACCCGCACAAGCAGCGGAGCAUGUGGAUUAAUUCGACGCAACGCGAAGAACCUUACCUGGGCUUGACAUACCUCUGACCGGCGUGGAAACACGUCUUCCCUUCGGGGCAGAGAUACAGGUGGUGCAUGGCUGUCGUCGGCUCGUGUCGUGAGAUGUUGGGUUGAGUCCCGCAACGAGCGCAACCCCCGUCCUAUGUUGCCAGCGGAUAACGCCGGGGACUCAUGGGAUACUGCCGGUGACAAACCGGAGGAAGGUGGGGAUGACGUCAAGUCAUCAUGCCCCUUAUGUCCAGGGCUUCACACGUGCUACAUUGGCGCAUACAGAGGGCUGCGAUGCCGCGAGGUGGAGCGAAUCCCAAAAAGUGCGUCUCGGUUCGGAUUGGAGGCUGAAACUCGCCUCCAUGAAGGCGGAGUUGCUAGUAAUCCCAGAUCAGCAAUGCUGGGGUGAAUACGUUCCCGGGUCU
rnacentral:rRNA from 1 species